rnacentral:rRNA from 1 species
UACGUAGGGGGCAAGCGUUGUCCGGAUUUAUUGGGCGUAAAGAGCGUGUAGGCGGCUUUACAGGUCCGUUGUGAAAACUCGAGGCUCAACCUCGAGACGCCGGUGGAAACCGUAAGGCUAGAGUCCGGAAGAGGAGAGUGGAAUUCCUGGUGUAGCGGUGAAAUGCGCAGAUAUUAGGAGGAACACCCGUGGCGAAAGCGGCUCUCUGGGACGGUACUGACGCUGAGACGCGAAAGCGUGGGGAGCAAACAGG